rnacentral:rRNA from 1 species
AAGACCUUGCACUUUUGGAGCGGCCGAUGUCUGAUUAGCUAGUUGGUGGGGUAAUGGCCUACCAAAGCUUCGAUCAGUAGCUGGUCUGAGAGGACGGCCAGCCACACUGGGACUGAGACACGGCCCAGACUCCUACGGGAGGCAGCAGUGGGGAAUUUUGGACAAUGGGCGCAAGCCUGAUCCAGCCAUGCCGCGUGAGUGAAGAAGGCCUUCGGGUUGUAAAGCUCUUUCAGCCGGGAAGAAAAGGUUGCGAUUAAUAAUCGCAAUUUAUGACGGUACCGGAAGAAGAAGCACCGGCUAACUACGUGCCAGCAGCCGCGGUAAUACGUAGGGUGCGAGCGUUAAUCGGAAUUACUGGGCGUAAAGGGUGCGCAGGCGGUUUUGUAAGUCAGAUGUGAAAUCCCCGGGCCUAACCUGGGAACU